GGGUUGCUACCAUGCAGGCUGAAAUGGCAACCAACUAUGGUUUGAUUAUGGCAGGAGCUGCCCUUGCUGCUGUUCCAAUCGUCACAGUCUUCC
rnacentral:tRNA from 1 species